CACUAAUUAAAAGUCUGUCCAGUCUGUAGUCGACCCUUUGCAGACAACUCUUAUUGGAUGGGAGAGCUCACAGCACUGUUUUGCAUUUUGAUGUCUUCAUCACUGUAAUUGCCGGUUAAGUCACCCUGAAUUAUUGAUGAGCCCAUACGUGGGGAGUAUGUGUGUUUCAGAAAAAUUCACCAAAGCCAGGACUACAAAGGGAAGGAGGAGUGCUAGCCAGCGUGCAGAAAGUGGGUGCUCAUACUAAACACACGUGUCAUUGUUGUUUAAACAAACUGCUGCUACAUCUGCUGGAGGCUGAUAAAGAUGAUACCCUCACACCCUACCCCUGCCCCAACGCCCCCUCCAGGGGCAUGUUCUGUAGGCGGGUCCAGCGACACAUAUUGUCAAAUCAAAUGGAGCCACACGGCCACUUAAUCCCAACCCUUUUAAUAAUGAGUAGGUUGGUUAUGAAAGUAUGAUUUGCCAGUAUGACAGCGAUGCUUCAGUACUCCUACCUUUGUGUCAUCUUUUUAUUUUUAAUGUAGUGUGUCUAUAAAACAGCAAACUGUUUUGCUGUUUGCACAAAAGGAAGCAAAUUGUUUUUUUCAGUGUAGAGUGGAUGAUUCAUUAUUAUUCACUUUAUAUAAUAGCAAAUCCACAUUAGCCAUACAGAGUUAUUUAUCUUCCCUCUGCUGUUUGAGAGAACAGAUUAAAUGUUGAGUCCCUUUAUUGACUGUGGAUGUAGAACACAUCCAGGAAAGGGUCAUCAGGCUGAACAUUCACAUAAGAUGUACAUAGAAAGCCACCAAACAAAACACACAAAGGAACAACAAUAAUUGUGUUCAUCUUUGAUUCCAAGUAAGUGAAAAAUUUAAAUGUAAAAAAAAUAAAUCUAAAUAAAUCUGCACAAACAUCAAAUAGUUCAGUAGACGCUAUUCCAUUGAUGCUGAGGCACUUCCCUCCCUCUCUCCCUCUCUCUCUCUGCACAAUGUUGUACACAGACUGAUUUCAUUUAUUGGAAAAUGACAACUUCCAGUGGUGAAGUAACUAUAUCUGCUCUUCUAUCAAUAGCUUGGUCUCAGACCAACCUCAAAGGUCACGACUUGACUCCACAAUGUCUUGGCCCCAGUAGGCCUUAAGUCUUAGCUUUAGACGAGACCACCAGGAAACUGUAUAGUGAGCCCCAUCGCUGAUCAAUGCCUUUCAGUGUGCCACCACCCUGCGCAGAAACCACAUGUGGGCGUCCAACUGCCUGCCCCCAAUCCAUAUCUCUCCGUUUCUGUAUUUACAGCAAAUGAAACAUUCAGACGGAAAGACGGCUGAUAUCGAUUAACUUGUGGGUUCACUAUUUUGAGUGACAUUUCAUAAAUAGAGCCGCCUCGUGAAAUAGUAAUGAGCCGAUGGCGAUUAGCAUUCAACCUUAAUAUGGCAUGAUUGAUUAGAUAUUCAGAUUUCACUUGGCCAAGGUUAAAUAUUGAAGCCAAGCAUAUAAAAAUCCCCAAAACAAUACAUUAACUAUUGAGGGUUUUGCCUUUUACACCGUUUAUUGGUCGAUGAAAACCAUGCUAUAAACUGACUCCAGUCUCCCUGCUGAUGUAUCAUUGUAAAAAGAAAUGUGUGUAAUGAACUGAGGUCAGUUUGCUCUGUGAGCUGCUGUGUCUCUAGGUGGGAACAAACAUCCUUAUUGCACAGCAGAGUUAGUUUUCCCCUCCGAAAAACAUUUUUUUUAGUUAGCACAUAAAGAAAUGUCUGGACAUUAAGAAACUUUACUUUUCUGAGGAGAGCAGGAGAAUGUGCGUUGGUCAUACCACUGGGACGAUGGUAUCAAAUGUCAAAGUGUCCAUGGGCAAGAUACUGAACCCCAAAUUGCAGAUGAUGUAUCAGUGUUCAAUGCAAAAACAGUGCUACAAGAAGUCAAAUAUUCUUCAAUUUAAUAAAAUUAUCUUGUAUUAAGACAAAAAAAAUAAUCUGCCAAUGGGCCUUAAAACUACACAAAAAAUGGCAACAAAAAUUAAGUUGUGUUUAUUAUAAGCAAUUAAAAACGUUCUUAUUGAAGAUAAACUUGAAUCAAUGAACUUAAAAUAAGUAUUGUGGUCUCUUGAUUGAGCUGACUUCCAGAAUUUACAAUUUCAUCUUAGAUUAAUGAUCAAGACACAAUUACUUCAAACAGCACAAGAAAGAAAAAAAAGUAACUGCUUUAGAUUAAAAAUUGGGAAACAUUCUUCUAUUUAUUUUUCAAGUAAAACUUAAAUAACUACUGCUUCUUUGAACAUUCAGUACCAUCCAUCAUCUGUUCUUCAGGAACAAGAACACUUUCUCCAUAGGAUUCUGGAUCAAUCAUUUACAGACUGAGGAGCAAUUCUCAACUGACUUUGGAGUAUUCAUUUUCUGACAGUGUGAUAUUGAAAAAAAACCUGUCAUUUUAGUUGCAUAACAUAAUAAUUAUUUGUAUUUUGCUCUGUAUGUGUUGUGUAGACCAGACCAAAGUUCUCAUAAUACAGUAUGUGAAAUGUGAAGCACCAGCCUCUGUUCUGGUGAUUUGCAAUGAAUAAAGAUUUUCAAAUUUCUUAAGAUUCGGGAAUUAGGAAGUUGUGCAAGUGGCCUUACUCUUGGAAUAAAGAAAAUAAUUGUGUUCCUCUGCCGGGAUAUUCUGCAAACCAUUGUUAUCUGGAACAUCUUAUGAAGU